CACGUAGGGGGCAAGCGUUGUCCGGAUUUAUUGGGCGUAAAGAGCUCGUAGGUGGUUCGGUAAGUCGGGUGUUAAACCCCCAGGCUCAACCUGGGGACGCCACUCGAUACUGCUGUGACUAGAGUCCGGUAGGGGAGCGUGGAAUUCCCGGUGUAGCGGUGAAAUGCGCAGAUAUCAGGAGGAACACCGGUGGCGAAGGCGGGUCUCUGGGCAGUAACUGACGCUGAGGAGCGAAAGCGUGGGGAGCGAACAGG
rnacentral:rRNA from 1 species